UGUUGGAACAAAACGACGGGGAAACGCCGAUAACAAAUGUGCUCGAGUUGUUUAACGAUCUGUACCACAGAUUCCGAUUGACAACUAAACCAACUAUGAAAGCAAUGUGCCUUCAGGCGAUGACUAAAGUUUAUGGAAAAUGUUAGGAAGAGAUUGGCGCUUUUAAUGACACCAAGCUAAGGAUCAUCUGUUAUUGAUCCAGUGUUACUACAGGAGCCUGAACUAAACUAACUUUAUUCAUACUGUUUCGUAUUUUUGCACUUACAUGAAAAUGGCAUCACCCACAGGGAUUGGAAGCCAGAAAAUGUUUUAUUGUGUGCCUCGGAUGACGAAACUCUUAUAAAGGUUUGUGUCGCUUGUGUAUUGAACUUAAUCUCAAUUCCGAGUUUUGUCCGUGAUUUCGUUUCACGAAAGCAGAGCGCAUUUUGCGAACGUUUUUUGCGUUCAUGAUGAAGACUAGCCGACGGUCACGUUCGACAGACGAGUCUCUG